GUUCCAGCCCCCUCCCUUGUGACCUUUGGAUGCUUCACAGUCCAGCUCUGAACCUGCUUUCAAAUGGAGAAAGUCUGCCAUACUCUCUGGAACAGAGAGAGAGAGACAGAGAAAGAGAGAAAGAAAGAAAGAAAACCAGUUCCAGCUCUCCCUCCCUGUGUGGUCCAGGCCGCAAACACCUGGUUCAGAAGAGAAAUGCAAUCACAGUGGAACAGUGGGCUGGGAUACCAAACAAAAGCUUGAAAUGUGAAAAAGGAAAAAAAAUCUAUCUUGUCAGCACAUCAGCAAAAUUGGAUAAAAGUUGCCGUAUAGUGACAGGUAGAAAACUUGGAGUGUAA
rnacentral:lncRNA from 1 species